AGAGAGAGAGGCAUUUCCUCUUCAACCACAAAUCUGAACCAAAGAGAGAGAGAGAGCCACGGCCAUAGCCAUGGCAGCAGCCCCUUCAUUAAGCUCACGGCCAGCUCCUCUUCUCCCCCCCUUCUACACAAUUAAGUUGAUGAUUUCCAAGUCCAAUUAGAGGAAGAAAACAAGGAUUACAACAGCCAUGGCAACUCACGGCCAUGGCAGAUUUUUUUUGGAACAACUUAAGCUUCUAAAGUGUCCUAAUUUAAUUUGAGGUUGAAGUGCCAAUCGAGACGAGUUAAAUUAUUGAAUUGGUACAGACGACAAAUGGGUUGUACGGAGAUUUGAAACUUUCCAGAGUAUGCUGUGUUGUGGCGCCAGUGUCGGAGUGGCAACCACGUUCCUGAGCCUUAUGCAUGAUUUCUUCACUUGCAUUAUGUACAUAUGAUUUCCGUACCGGUUUUGAUAUACUGAUUUGGUACAGACGUUUGUUUUCUGGUGACUCGCCCAUGUAGGAUACAUUCUGCUACUUUGGGGUGCUCCUUUGACUCGGAGCCCACACUUUUGGUAAAGACCUUUCAUUGUAUAUGUCUCUGUAUAUGUAUGUAUGACUAUCUGGGGUACGGUGGGGCCCUGUCCCGUCAUAUGUUCUGUUAUGGUUUGUAGAGGCCUGUAGUCAUAUAUGUGGGUCAUGGGUCGUGUUUGUUCGAUUAUGUUUGUGACUUGUGCCUUAAGCGGUCCCGGUUGUUGUUAUGGCCAAAAUGGCCCAUAUGUUUAUAUAUGUUUGUAUAUCUGGGCGAUGUGUAUUCCGCCAACCUUCCGGAUUUGAUAUGAUGUUUCUGUACGGGCGACCGCUUAAGAUGAUAUGUGUUUUCAGUAUCUGUUUAAAAUGACGGAUGAUAAGUUUGAAUAAACCUUUGAUAUGUCGAUCUGGUACGUAAGU